GUAUCACUUACCUCACAGAGACAGGAAGGUCAUCUCCAGCCUGGCUGAUUGUGAUCUGACCUCCAGGUCUUCCUCAUCUCUCUCCUCAGUCCUCUCUUCUCCACACUCACAGCUGACUGAACUCCACCUGAGCAGAAACAAACUGGGAGAUUCAGAAGCUCAUCAGCUGUGUGAGGGUCUGCGAACCCCAAACUGUAAAUUAAGGACACUGAGGCUGUCUGGUAAUGAGAUCAGUGAGAGUGAGAAGAUGAACCUGAGGUCACUACAGGAGGAGCUGAACAGGACUGGACGGCAGGUGGAUAUCAGCACAUAAGAAGACUGGACAUGCUGAUCAACUGCCCCCAGUGACGGCGCCCCCUGUCCACUCUCUCUGAAUUCUUCUCUUUAUUCUUUAAUAAUCUCCUCCGCUCUCCUCCAUAUUUAAUAAACUCUCCAUGUCUUCUUCUCACCCUGUGUGCUUCUUCUUUAAACUCACUUGUGUUUCUCCACCCUGUCACCCUGAACUGGUCACUAAACUCCACAAGUUCAGACCAGAAACCCCUGAGUUUCACCAGCCAAGAACCACAGUUAAGAUAUGUCAUUUGAAACCAGCGGGGGUCACAAAGCCCACAGAGGGGAGCAGCAGAAGCAAACACGAGUGGACAGUCCAGUUGUAGGGUGAUGGAGAGUGAGGCCAAUCCUGGCAUUGGUGACAAAUUCUGGACAGGCACCGGACCAUCACAGGUCAAGCUGAUGGUGGUCUGAGCAGAAACCUCAUAAACCUACUGCUCCUCAACAUCAUGUGGUGUUGUUUGAACCCGUGUCUGCUCUACUCCUUGUUCACUGCCUCAUUCGCACACAAUUCAUGUCAUCAUCAG